rnacentral:lncRNA from 1 species
AAUCGUCAAUGCGACGUCCUCCUACUCCCACCUCAGAGCUGUCACAGAGACUGUCAGUUCCGUCCCUCCCCUUCAGCCCUUUAACGCACGUCUUCCCGACCGCAUAACUUGCUCAGUCCCUGCGGCCAACUGGGGCGGGCCAAUGGCUGUGACGGAUAAGGGGUGUGGGGUGCGGGGACAAUGGGCCAGAGCUUCUCAUGCAGCCUGCACCAGCGCCGGGUCGGAGAGUCAGAGGCCACCCUGAGAUGGACCGAGAUCUUCAGUUGGGGAGGCGCCUCCGGUGAGCUUGCGGCCAGAUGCCCCCUCAGUAGUCCUCCGCAACAGGUGCCGCGCAGCCGAGUGGCGGGCUAGCAUACCGCCUGCCCGCAAUUCGGCCAGGCCUCGAGCCUGCUCCGCCUUCCCGCUGCGGUAGCGCCGCCGGGGAAACGCCGCCACGGGCUGCAUGGGCAGCGCUCGCGCCCCGCCGCUGAGCCGCCGGGGAGCCGUCCAGUCUUCGAAUCCCAGCUUGGUGGCAUGCAUGUUUAGUCCCAGCUACACAGCAGGGAGGCUGAGGCUGAAGGAAUACUUGAGCCCAGGAAUUCAAGACUAGCCUGCACAACAUAGUGAGACCCUGACUUUAAAAUAAAUUUAAAAAAAUUAAAAGCAA